UAUAGUUUCUUUCUUUUUUUAGUUAUAAUUUUCAGCUUUUUGACAGUGGAGUUUCGAAAAAGCUUUUCAAGUGUACUGGAGGAGUAAUGGCAUCAGAAGCAGUCAAUCUUUUAAGAAGCUUUUAUGAGCAAGGAAAUCCCAAUGCCCCAAAGCCUUACAGGAAGCCAAUGCAAGGGGUCUAAAUGGUUCAGUAACAGUUGCAGAGGUACACACUGGCAAAUAUUUAUUGUAACAUAGAGCAAUAUUAUUUUGGCUUUUUUGAUCUGCUAUCUGUCUCAAAGAGAGAAAUUCAUAUUGUCUAUUCUUUAUACACAUAACUAUGCACAUCAGCACCUGGGGGACAAGUGAAACAGUGGAUUUUCGUUUUUACUAACACUUUGAUGUGAACACUGGGAGUCUGUAGUGUCUUAUAUGAUUGCAUUUGAUAUCUGAUCGUAAUAUGCUUGGUUAAUGCUUAAUCUAAUUCCAUAAAUUGUCUGCGUUAAGAAAUAAAAAGUGAAAUGCUAUAUUAUAUCUGGUCUGUAGAAAUUAGUUAACUGUAUUUCCCAUAAUGCCAUGAGCUUUUGGCUUUAGAUAUUCAAGUUUUCAAGGUUGGAACGAAGAAAUUAUUUUGUGAUACUUGAGAUCUAUUAGGAUACAAAUCCAGGAAGAUUAAUUGAUUUACAGAUGAAUGGAAAAAGAUUGGCUGGUCUGUCGUAAAUCUAAUGUGCUGGUAGGAAGAAAUUAAAAUCCUUAUCUGGAAAUUGAUUAAUGCUCAAUCGCAGACCCAUUGUUUAAAUUCAAAUAGAUAAAUUUUAAUACCCAAUUUUUUAAUUAUUUAGACGCACUUAUUUUAUUGUGCUAUAUUUUGCACCAUUAAUAACGUCGUGGCAUGACUUAUAGAAAGCAUUUAAUAAAAAUAUUGUUAUUGUUCGACCAAAAGGAUGAUUAGAUACCUUCCUCUCUAAGAGCAAUCUCCAAAUUUUAGCAAGACAAUAUGAGUUAGGAAUAAUAAAAAGAUUGUUAUUGUUCGACCAAAAGGAUGAUUAGAUACCUUCCUCUCUAAGAGCAAUCUCUAAAUUUUAGCCAAACAGUUUGAGUUAGGAAUAUGUUAGUGUAUCUCAUAUGGCUUGUGAUCUUUGCGAGAUUUCUAUGCCUUCAAACUUCCCAUUUCCCCAUCUGGACACUGAUGCAAAUAAAAUUUUGUGUCAGAAUCCACCUAAUUGAUUCACACCUACGUCUGCUUCUUGUUCUCAAGUCCUUAAAUUUGACAUGCUUAUCUGAUCAAAGCUUCUGAUGUUCAGGUUCUGUAAUGGAGAAUGCAACCUGUUUACACAGCUAUUGAUUUGGCACUAAAUGAUCAAAUUACAGUGCCCUUGGCAGUCAAAAUUUGUCUUAGAAAAGAUUACUUGUUUUAGUUUGAGAAACUGAAUGAGAAUCUUGGAUCAGAUGCUAUGGAGGCAGCAUACAUUUGAAUUCUUUUGAUUUCUCAGAUUGUAAUAUACUGUUUAUACUUCACUUCUCUUGAAUCAUCCACACAAAAAUUGAUGGAGCAUUUGAGUAACGUGAAUCGACUGCAACAUCUACAUACUUUCAAGAAAAGUAACUUUUAAGCAUAAUUACA